CUGGUAUAACAGCCCCGGGAAGGGGGUCCCCCGAUAUUUAUUGGGGACAAAGGCCGGUCCAAGGGGGGGGUAUGAUUUUUGGGGGUUGACUUCCAAAUUAAUCCACCCCCGCCACACCGCCUUGGGGAGGGCCCGCCGUCAAUUUCUUUGUAGUUGUUAAGUUUACCCCCGUUCUUUCCCCGGGAAAAUUGUUAAAAGUUUAAGUGCCCCAGUGGGGAACGAGACCCCCCAGAACCUAGCAUUGAUUUUUUGGCGUGAGGGAUUGCCGGGGGAAUCCAGAACUUGUUUCCCCCCCUACGCUUCGCCGCAUAAAGAUUCAAGAAAUGGGUGCCGGGUGGGCCGCCAUCGCCCCCGGGUGCUCUUACGGAUUUUAUACUAAUCUCCACCGUGGACACUGUCAGUUUCUUCAAACCUCAAACGUAAUUAACGGGUGCCCCGGCAUAAAAGGGUGGUUCCUUUUUUUUUUUAUUUUGGAUUAAGUGGCCGAAACCUUAACACACCGGGGGACAUGCCUGUUUCCCCCCAAAAGAUUUGGGGGGACCAUUGCCUAAAAAAAAAAAAAAGGUGUUUUAUGGGGGACGAUAAUGACGGUACUGGAUGAAUAAGCCCCGGCUAACUUCGAGCCAGCAGCCGCGGUAAUACGAAGGGGGCCAGCGUUGCUCGGAAUCACUGGGCGUAAAGGGCGCGUAGGCGGCGUUUUAAGUCGGGGGUGAAAGCCUGUGGCUCAACCACAGAAUGGCCUUCGAUACUGGGACGCUUGAGUAUGGUAGAGGUUGGUGGAACUGCGAGUGUAGAGGUGAAAUUCGUAGAUAUUCGCAAGAACACCGGUGGCGAAGGCGGCCAACUGGACCAUCACUGACGCUGAGGCGCGAAAGCGUGGGGAGCAAACAGGAUUAGAUACCCUGGUAGUCCACGCCGUAAACGAUGAAUGCCAGCUGUUGGGGUGCUUGCACCGCAGUAGCGCAGCUAACGCUUUAGCAUCCGCCUGGGAGACGCACUC
rnacentral:rRNA from 1 species